AAUCAACGCUGGCGGCGUGCCUCAGACAUGCAAGUCGAACGAUUAAAGCUCUCUUCGGAGAGUGUAUAGAGUGGCGCACGGGUGAGUAACACGUAAGUAAUCUACCUUUGAGUGGGGAAUAACCCGGGGAAACCCGAGCUAAUACCGCAUAAUGCAGCGGCAUCGCAAGAUGACAGUUGUUAAAGGAGCAAUCCGCUUAAAGAGGAGCUUGCGGCAGAUAGCUAGUUGGUAAGGUAAUGGCUUACCAAGGCUACGAUCUGUAUCCGGUCUAAGAGGACGGUCGGACACACUGACACUGAAUAACGGGUCAGACUCCUACGGGAGGCAGCAGUGGGGAAUCUUGCGCAAUGGGCGAAAGCCUGACGCAGCGACGCCGCGUGAGGGAUGACGGCCUGG
rnacentral:rRNA from 1 species